UGGAUCCUCUUCCCUGGGGACUCCAGAUACAGAAAGAUUCUGGCACUAGAAGCUUCCCAGAGGACUGGUCUCUAUCCCAUUCUCAGAGUUCCAGAACAUUCCCAUUGCUCCAGAAGAAGAUCCCAUGAAAAUGCAGAGCGGUUGCUCCCCACGCACCCUCCCCUGAGCCCGCGGGAGCCUCUGAUCUGCUUUCGGUCUGUAUGGGUUUGCCAGUUCUGGGCAUUUCAUGUGAAUGGAACCCUAAGCAUCUGUCCUUCUGUGUCCUCCAGGUCUUUGUAUGCUGUACCAGGGCUGGAACGCCACACUCUUCAGGUCGUGGAUGAGCGGGUUCAUUGUGUGGACACACUUGCGUGUUCAUUCAUCUGUGGACGGGCUCAGGGCUGUCUCCACCUCUUGGCUGCUGUGAACAGAGUUGUUAUCCACAUUCAUGUACAAGCUUUGUCUGAGCACCCGUUCCGAUGCUGUGGGGCAGGGACCCAGCAGCGUAAUGGCUGAGUUGCAGUCCCUGUGUUUAAGGGCUUGUCUUCCUGUUGGCCAAGGCCUUGACAACAGUCCUCAUGGUCUCGUCCUGUCUGUGUCUUCCCUCUGGGCUCCCGACCUGCCUAUCAGUCCACUCCAAGGUUGUUUUCUGCCCCUCCCUCCCUAAAACCCAGGGCUCCAGGACUCUGAGGGACAGGUUCCAGAUGGGGAAAUCGAGGUCCUCAGCGGAAAAGAGUUUUGCCCCGUAAGUUGGAGUGGAACUGGGAUUUAGCCUCAACCCCGCUCCCUUCCCAAGACCCCUAGGUCCUAGGUCUUUGUGCUGUGGCUGCAUGUCCCACACAGGGCUACCCCUCCCGGAGAGAGCUGGCCACAUUCUCAGCAUCUUGUCUCCUGGGCACUGGCUUUCCUGGCAGAUCCAGGGCAGGACGUGGGGGCUUUUGUGUGAAAACAAGUCUCAAGUGGGCUCUGCAGCAGAAUGCCAGCCUGGCAUACACUUCCAGCCUUGGUGAGUGGCAUCUAAGAAACGUGGCUUGGGUGGGCAGGGACCUUCCCCCACCCCCCACCUCUGCCUCAGCCCCCCCAGCCUCAGCUGCUCCAAGACUUAAAGGCACAGAAGCUCUGGGAUGGCCUCCUCAGGGUGCGCUAGGGAGGGCUCUUUGCCGUGUUCAGAACUUGCCCCUGCCUGGCUCCCCUGAAGCUCACCUGAGCCUCUCUGAACCCCUAGGUGACAAGGAAAGAAACCCUCAGAUGGAUUAUCACGCCCCCUCCCCCCACC
rnacentral:lncRNA from 13 species